AAGUCGUAACAAGGUCUCCGUUGGUGAACCAGCGGAGGGAUCAUUACUGAGUUAUCACAACUCCCAACCCAUGUGAACUUACCUUCUGUUGCCUCGGCAGGGCGCACCCCGCGAGGGGCUUGCUGGCCUGCCGGUGGACUACUAAACUCUUGUUUUUUUCGUGGAACUCUGAGUAACAAAACAUAAUAAUCAAAACUUUCAACAACGGAUCUCUUGGUUCUG
rnacentral:misc_RNA from 1 species